UCAAUGUUUAGAUUAUUUUUUAAUUUACAUAUUCUUUGUGUAGGGUUCCCAUAGUAUCUUCUAAGGAAAAAAAAUACUAUGAUUAUGUCAGAGCUUCUUGUCAAUUGUCAUGCAUCAAUUUAAACAUGUUUUAAUGCAAGAGGUUCAUCUGUUCCUAAAUAGUCAUUUGUCUUCAUGCUUAGCAAUACCUAGAGCUUGUUAGCAAAAAUCUAUUUUCAUCAUCAAGUUAUAAACAAUAAAGAUGUAGAAUGGUUGAAUAAAGAUGUAGAAGAAGCAAUCACAAGCGGAUUUCUUAAAGCAGUAACUGAGAUAUUUGUAUUCUAACAGUUAAUUAUUAAUCAUACUUUCAGGUGUUAAGAUUCCAAUUGCUAUACUUGGAGCUGAGAACGACAAAGUUGCUUGUCCUCCAACGCUUGUAAAACAAUGGGAAGAAAUCCUAAAGGCUAAACCUGAGAUUGAUAGUUAUGUAGAAAUAUUUCCUAACGUCUCACACGGAUGGACAGUGAGGUACGACCCUAAAGAUCCAAGUGCCGUGAAGGCUGCAGAUAAGGCUCAUCAAAUCAUGAUAGGUUGGUUUGAUAAACAUUUAAAGUGAGAAAUCUUCUUAUGUGAUGUUUGAUCCACUGGUGAAGUCUCACUUAAAUGACACAACGGUGGAUCACACGCUUUCAAUAAUUGAAGACAGAUUGUGCUCCUUUUGAUCUCGGAACUGUACCCCUACGGUUUUUGUAGAUUUCCAUUUUUCUUUCCUUUACUUAGUCUUGCUAUUUCGAUCUUGUUUUGGCAAGAAAAAUGUAUUGUGGAAAUGGGAACAACUAGCAGA